UCUUUUUAUUUUAAAUUGUUAACAAGAUAUAAAGAGGAAUUUAAUAACCUGUAAACAUGGGCUAAUGGUAAAUGUAGGUAAUGAAAGCAUAACAAUAGCAAGUUCCUUCAUUUGUUUGAUGUAACAUCCAAGCAAGAGGCAUGUCACAGUCUAACAGCUCAUCUUUUGUAGAGGAAAAUCGUUUAUUUACUGUGAGAGUUGAGUCUAUUCAGCCGUGAUAAAAUAUUGAGAUAUUUGAGGAUACUUGGUCGUUGGGAUUUUGAAAGAACUUACUUUGGACUUUUUGCGAGAUCGGCUGGCUGAAGUCCACACGGAGCAUCUUGACAGAGGCUGCAGAUUGAAACCCAAAUUUUGUAUGAAGACAAAAUUUAAUUUAACUGCAUUGUACAUUUCAUGUGAAGGUUGCGAUACAUUAGAGGUUGUGAUAUAAGUAUCAGAGGCUCAAAAUAUAUCAGAAUUUUCUUUA